CAGCCGCCGCGGGAUACGAGGGGGGCAAGCGUUGUUCGGAAUUAUUGGGCGUAAAGGGUGCGUAGGCGGUUUGACAAGUCAUCUGUGAAAUCUAUGGGCUCAACCCAUAGUCUGCAGGCGAAACUGUCGGGCUUGAGUAUGGGAGAGGUGAGUGGAAUUUCCGGUGUAGCGGUGAAAUGCGUAGAUAUCGGAAGGAACACCUGUGGCGAAAGCGGCUCACUGGACCAUAACUGACGCUGAGGCACGAAAGCUAGGGGAGCAAAUGGGAUUAGAUACCCCAGUAGUCCCUGUCUCUUAUACA
rnacentral:rRNA from 1 species